UGAGAAGGGCUCUCAUGAAGACGAUGAAUGCCAUUAUAAGGAGGAAGCGAUUUACGGGAAAGAAAAGUGCCGUCAUAGUCUACAGAAUUCCUUAUCCCCGGAGGUAGAAUAUAAGUAUUUUGAUGAGGGAAAGGAUGAGAAGUUUGAUCUAAAGAAACCGGUUUAUCUAAAAGGACAGCAGAAGGACGAGGGUGAGGCAUUAUAUCCUUAUAAUCCCGAGUUGACAUGACAUUGUUCUCCAAGGACAACUCAGGUAUUCGAUUGACUUGUAGCGAUUGCAAUUCCUUUGGAUAGGGGAUCCAAGAUGGAGAAUACGGAUGCAAAUCCGAAAUUGGUGAUUGAUUUCCCAGAAUGACAGACGGCUCUUCGUUUUUUACGGAGACAAUUGAGUUUUUUUCAUCUGAUAAAGGAACCGAAGGAAACCUAGUAGAGCUAGGUCUUGUUGACUGGGGAGGUGAAGGAAGGCGAGGAGAAGUAAAAGCUUUGUUAAUAAGUAGGUUAUUGCCCUGCUCACUCGAUUCCAAAUGUUUAAGACACGGGACUGCAACGUUAGUUGCCCUCGGAGGAGAAGGAGCUGACACAAGCGAUACGGGAAGCGCAGAUGAUGGUGGAGACGGCAUAU